UAAUACGUAGGGGGCAAGCGUUGUCCGGAUUUACUGGGUGUAAAGGGUGCUCAGGUGGCUUUGUAAGUCAGCGGUGAAAUCUUAGAGCUCAACUCUGAAACUGCCGUUGAUACUACUUGGCUUGAGUAUGGAAGAGGUUGAUGGAAUUUCAGGUGUAGCAGUGAAAUGCGUAGAUAUCUGAAAGAACACCAGUGGCGAAGGCGGUCAACUGGUCCAUUACUGACACUAAAGCACGAAAGCGUGGGUAGCGAACAGGAUUAGAUACCCUGGUAGUCCACGCCCUAAACGAUGAAUACUAGACGUUGGGUGUAAAAACUCAGUGUCGCAGCUAACGCAUUAAGUAUUCCACCUGGGGAGUACGAUCGCAAGGUUG
rnacentral:rRNA from 1 species